CCUACGGGAGGCAGCAGUGGGGAAUAUUGCACAAUGGGCGAAAGCCUGAUGCAGCAACGCCGCGUGAAGGAAGAAGGCCUUCGGGUCGUAAACUUCUGUCCUUGGGGAAGAAGAACUGACGGUACCCAAGGCGGAAGCCCCGGCUAACUACGUGCCAGCAGCCGCGGUAAUACGUAGGGGGCAAGCGUUAUCCGGAAUUAUUGGGCGUAAGGAGUACGUAGGUGGCAACCUAAGCGCAGGGUUUAAGGCAAUGGCUCAACCGGAGUAAGCCUUUGAAACUGGGGAACUGGAGUGCAGGAGAGGAGAGUGGAAUGCCUAGUGUAGCGGUGAAAUGCGUAGAUAUUAGACGGAACACCAGUUGCGAAGGCGGCUCUCUGGACUGUAACUGACACUGAGGCACGAAAGCGUGGGGAGCAAACAGGAUUAGAUACCCGUGUAGUC
rnacentral:rRNA from 1 species